AUUAUAAUAGUAAUUGUCAAAAGAAUUUAAAAAAAAAUAUUUAAGAAAAAUAUUAUAAUAGUAAAAAGGUGGAAAUUUGCAACUGAGUUGACCUGACAUGGUAAGAAGUUGAAAGUUAGGCAAUCACUUUAGAAAUUCAAAAUAUUUUUAAUUCGUGCAUAUAUAUUUCUUUUAAUAAACAACAUGAUAGUUUCACAUAACAUUUUCUAUAAAGUACAACAUAUGAAGCCAUUGUUUCAUUUUAAUUUGCCUGACAGAAAUCUGUCAGAUAUGGCUGUAUUGUGACAUGAAGGUCUACCUUCAAUUUUUAAUUUGCGAUUCAUUUCUGAUGUAUUUUAAUUAAGGUACCAAAAUUGAAUUGCUAAGAUUUGUACCAUGAAGUGUCUAUAACUGAAUGGUGUUUGAAUCGCUUAUGAAAGAAUGAACAAAAUAGAUUCAUCUGUGGUCCAUGGUGUGAGAAAGAGUUAGAGAGACACUGUACAGUCUGUAAAGUUAAUUUAAAUUUAAUGUUUCCUUGUUAGUACUGCAAUAUGCUUUCAUUACAGUAAUAUCAACAUUGCAACCAGAAAACAUACCAUCUACAUCAGAUUAUAGAAAUUAUGCUAGAGAAAUGUCUGUACCUAAGCUGAUGACGCUGUGCAUCACACUCCAUCAAGGAAGAGAAGACCACAUGUCAUUUUAAAGAAAAUGAAACUUUCAUCUCAUUGUGCAAGUCUUUAUCAUGAAUUUACCAAAUCACAAAAGCAGCUUAACUUUGAUUUAAGAGCUAAAAGUGCAUUUUCACAGAAAAUCAUUUAUAAAGCGUACAGAGAAAGUGAACCCUAUUGCAAAGAAAUUUUUGUGGAUGCAGAUUAAAUAGGCUUACAUUAAGUUUAAAACGAAAAUGAAAAAUAAAAUAACAUAACAUGA